UACGGAGGGGGCAAGCGUUGUUCGGAAUUAUUGGGCGUAAAGGGCGCGUAGGCGACCGGCCAAGUCGGGUGUGAAAUCCCUCGGCUCAACCGAGGAACUGCACUCGAUACUGGCUGGCUUGAGUCCGGGAGGGGAUGGUGGAAUUCCCAGUGUAGCGGUGAAAUGCGUAGAUAUUGGGAAGAACACCGGUGGCGAAGGCGACCAUCUGGACCGGAACUGACGCUGAGGCGCGAAAGCCAGGGGAGCG
rnacentral:rRNA from 1 species